rnacentral:tmRNA from 1 species
GGGGGCGUAAAGGUUUCGACGGGGUUGCAGAAGCAUGAGUAGCGAGUAGAGGAUUCUCGUUGGCCUCUUAAAAAACGAGAACAUAAUAAUAAAUGCUAAUAAUGAUGAAUUAGUACUUCAAGCAGCUUAAGUUCUGCUUGCAUCAAUUUCUUUGGGACCUGUUUGCCGAAGAUUAUUGGUGUCAAAAAAACACAGGCCUCGGGUUGUGGUAGGUUAACGACUCCACCUAACUAAUCAAAGCUUUGAGAUUAGUUAGAAAUUAUGAAGCUACCGUGAUGUGUGUUUUGCCUGUGAUACGCAUAUUGUGGGAAUCAUAAAUCAUGGGAUACACUCGUAGAAGCUUGUGUGGAUGUAGUUUCGGACAGGGGUUCGACUCCCCUCGCCUCCACCA